UUUCUUCCUUGGACGAAGCCAACUGAUGAUCAUGAAGGCUUAUGGCUUACGUUGAUAACCUCCAUUGCACUUCUGUCUAAGGUCUCUUCAAAGAGGGCAUCCUAUGUCAAAAUUUUGGUUUAAAAUUUUAAUUCUUAGUUACAUUUUU
rnacentral:snRNA from 11 species